rnacentral:sRNA from 1 species
GGAGAAGACGGGCUAGUGCGCCCACCAUC